rnacentral:misc_RNA from 1 species
GUCGAGUUUUGUGCUAUGAAUUUUCAAUUUAAAGGGAGUGAACUACAAGAACAUGAUUACACUCCCAACAUGGACCAGUCGUGGGUUCACCGAAACAAAAAUGGGCGAAAACCAUAAUGAAAAAUUCUGACAAUUAAUUACACAGAAGAACACCUUCUUCUCUAAUCAUGGACGAUGGAGUGAAUUAGAAUGGAGGCUUCAUCAUCUGUCGGAACAGCGUCAUCUGUUUACAGCCAGAAAUUUAACACAGUUGAAAUGUUAAUCAAUGUCCAUGACUAUUCUAAGAUUCACAGUCUCCUGCAGAAACUAAUUAACUCAUGAUUUCAUUAGUCAUGAUUAACUUAUCAUUAUUGCCCUUAACAACAAUCAAAUAAAUAGUGUCCAAAAAGAUUGGAAAGAAAGAAGAAGAUACCUGGGAAGUGGGAAAAGAUUUUAUCAAUGAUGUGUCCACCACCCUUUUCGUCGCGCUUCACUAGUAGCUUAUCUUCUUCUUUGCCCUUCCCAUCUUCUUCAUCUCCAACUUCAUCACCUUGGUUUUGUGCUCCUGCUUUUGGACUCAAAGGAGGAACCAAGCGGGAUAUGAUAUUGUCGAGGAUUCCACCUCCCUUCUCUUCAUCUUUUUCUUCUUCCUGUUUCUCUUCAUAACCUUCUUGUUUCUCUUCAUCUGCUUCCUCUUUACAUAGCAAGUUAGAGAUGACAUGGUUUAGUGAUCCAGGAGCUGUGCCUUGACGAUGAUGGUGAUCGUCUUUCUUAUCGUCAUAGUCUUCCUCUUCCUCUUCAGGAUGCAAAAAUCUCACAACUUUAGUCACACCAUCUUCCAUUUUCUUUUCUCUCUUCGGCUUCUUUCUGCUUCAUCGGACGCCGACUAUAAGUAACGCCUGAGACAGAGCCGGGGGACAAACGUCUUCCCGAAGAAGAGUUGUUUAAUAAGGAACUGUGUUUUCUUACACAG